rnacentral:rRNA from 1 species
GACGAACGCUGGCGGCGUGCUUAACACAUGCAAGUCGAACGGAAAGGCCCUGCUUUUGUGGGGUGCUCGAGUGGCGAACGGGUGAGUAACACGUGAGUAACCUGCCCUUGACUUUGGGAUAACUUCAGGAAACUGGGGCUAAUACCGGAUAGGAGCUCCUGCUGCAUGGUGGGGGUUGGAAAGUUUCGGCGGUUGGGGAUGGACUCGCGGCUUAUCAGCUUGUUGGUGGGGUAGUGGCUUACCAAGGCUUUGACGGGUAGCCGGCCUGAGAGGGUGGCCGGCCACAUUGGGACUGAGAUACGGCCCAGACUCCUACGGGAGGCAGCAGUGGGGAAUAUUGCACAAUGGGCGGAAGCCUGAUGCAGCAACGCCGCGUGCGGGAUGACGGCCUUCGGGUUGUAAACCGCUUUCGCCUGAGACGAAGCGUGAGUGACGGUAAUGGGUAAAGAAGCACCGGCUAACUACGUG